rnacentral:lncRNA from 1 species
AUGCACGCUUAUUGGUUACCUACUCUCCGUGGUACCAUGUCCCUAUUUAUCUACCAACAUUCUCUGAGACUUUCAAAAAAAAAUUCCUAGUACUCGAAUCCUUGUUUCAGUCUGUGUCUGGGAAAAUCCAAGCAAUGAUCACAGCACCUUGCACACUGAAAGACCAGAAGUGGAGAGGGAAUGCUAAGUGCUAGAAGAACCAUGUCUUCUCUUCUUCUGGUGAGGUAUUUCAUACAGUCCUUCAGCUGCCUCCAGGUAGAGCAGAUGAGAAAUCAGGCACUGUACACUGGAUACACUCUUUCAGCUCUCUGAACCUUGAUACAUUGCUUUGAGUCCAUUAUAAGCAUGAGUACAAGAGAGCUUGUGAAUGAUGCAAACUGAUAGCUCUCCAGUCGGUCUGUCCUCAUUUCUCAUUUUGAAGAUUCUAUUGUGGAUUACGUGCUCCAACACAAAAUCUCAUCACCAUUUUGUGGUUUCCUAGCUAAUACUCAGGAAAACAGAAACCAACUGGUAUUUUAUCAUUCACCUUUGUUACCAUGUUCAUGGGGGUAUGUAAUAAAAGAAUCAAUGAAUAAUAGGAUCUUAGAACAGAAAAGAACUUGGAGACCAUGUAGUCCUAAUCCAUCAUUUUAUAAAUAGGAAAAUUUUGAUUAAGAAAACUCAAUGACUGCCCAUAACAACAAGAACAGUGAAUUUAUUCCGUAAUUCUUUGUCUAGUACUCAGGCAGACAGUGGAGUCAGAUGUACCAAGACAGUGUUCCACACUCUUCCAUCUCUAUCAGUGUCCUGAUUAUUCCUGUACCUUUUUUUUUCCAUUUAAGAUGAUCAAUGUGUGGAUGCUUCCCUUUACUCUAUUAGAUCUGCUUUAAGAAAAGGGCCUAAAAUCAUCCAUAGUGAAAAUGACUGGAAACAGCUUCCACUGUGACACAUAUCAAGGAUAUUUUUAUUUUAGCAAGAAUCCAACUGCUAAGCUGAAGGGAUGAACCAUUUCAGAAAUCCAGUAGUGGGCAGGGGAGGUAAGGGAAGUAAACAGUAUUCUUUUCUGAAAGCCUGAAAUCUCUCCAUUUAUUACAUUCUCUGAGUAUGUUGCCCAAUAUUAGGCAUACUAUGCUUAAAUAGUAAUGCUAUGAGAUAAUGCAGAUAGGAAAACAUUUAACAUAAUGAUCCAUGAAGUGCAAAACAAAUCUGUCACAGAUAAUCCAUUUCCAGCCUACCUCCCAAGUGGGAAGUGACCUUCCCCACAAAACAGAGUUUCAAUGUUCUUAUUGCCACAGUCCAGAAAACAGGACUCCUGAAAAAAAAAACCUCCACCAAAGACAAUAUAGACACUUAUAUAAUAGAACUGUACAUAACAGGAAGAAAUUAAUGUGGCAUAAAAUGCACAGCUUCCAGACAUGAAAAUCUUGAGUUCCUGAAUGAUGACCUAACAUAUUUAAGCUUCAGCUUUCUCAACUGGCAAUUUUAACUACUUAUCUUUGCCUUCUCUACCUCACAGGCAUAUCACAAUUAUGACAUUGAUUAAAUGAUGAGAAUGUAAGGUAUACAUAUUUUCUAUAUAUGAGUAGCCAUACAGGGUAUAUAUUUGUCAUAUUUUUCAAAAAUGGGUUUUUAAGGGCUUUUCAAGGUGUAUGUGGAAUAAUGCAUUGUUUUUGUUAUGGUCAAACUUUGCUAUCAAACAACACAGAAACUCAAAACUGGAACUGUAUGCUAGGAAAGAAUGUAACAGGUGACUUCCCAUAAGUACUGAUUUCAAGCAUUUUCAUUGUCAAAGUUUAUACAGUUUGGAAAGGUGUUAAGAAAACUACAAAUCAGUCAGUAGAACCACUUAUAAAUUUCAGAAUUAUCUCUCCAAGCUCAAAUGAAAAGCAUGGGAAAAAUCAAAAGAAUAUAAUUUUUUGGAAAUUCCAUUGGAAACUUGGUAAAAUUCUUUUUUUUUUUUUAUUUUCCCACUGUACAGCAAGGGGGUCAGGUUAUCCUUACAUGUAUACAUUACAAUUACAGUUUUUCCCCCACCCUUUCUUCUGUUGCAACAUGAGUGUCUGGACAUAGUUCUCAAUGCUAUUCAGCAGGAUCUCCUUGUAAAUCUAUUCUAAGUUAUGUCUGAUAAGCCCAAGCUCCCGAUCCCUCCCACUCCCUCCCCCUCCCAUCAGGCAGCCACAAGUCUCUUCUCCAAGUCUAUGAUUUUCUUUUCUGAGGAGAUGUUCAUUUGUGCUGGAUAUUAGAUUCCAGUUAUAAGGGAUAUCAUAUGGUAUUUGUCUUUGUCUUUCUGGCUCAUUUAUUAAUUACUGAAUAGUUGGCUGACUUUCCCAAGGCCAAAAACUAUGUGUUAUUUUGGGUUCUCCCAGAAGGCAAAGAUAAAGUAGGGAAAUGCGACAUGGAAGUGGGGGAAUGCAAUGCAAGGUACAUUAUCAAGUCAGCUACCACUGUGGGAGAAUGGAGCUUACUUCUGCUGGGGAAACUGUGUGAGUCAGUGUAGACCCUAUGUCUCAGAGUUACCCAACUUAGGGUGAAAGAGCUGAAGUUUUUAUAUUCUCACUGUUUAAGGGUUACUCCCAGGAGGUAAUAAUACCUCAUUCAACAUGUCUAGCCUGCUUCUGUGGCAGCAAGGUGAGCUCCAGAAGGUGAGAACAUUCUGAAACAAAGAGGUGCGGGUGCUGGUAGACAGAAGGCAGGGCUCAGACAUGUAUACACCCUAUAUGGAUAUUCACACAAAGACAACAUGUGUACCUUACAUUAUCAUCCUUGUCAUCCCUGAAACAUGCCUGUGAGAUAGAAAGGGCAAAGCUGAGCAUCCCCCAACUGACAGAACAAGGAGACACAAGCAGGGCCCUGAGAAUAUAUGCUACACACCAUGAAGUGGCUAAGUCAGAACUUGAACCCAGGUCUUUAGAUGCCUAGAGCAGGCUCACCCAACUCAAGCAUGCUGCCUUCGACUAUACCUUAUCCUUGCUGCCUACCAACCAUGUUAGUUUCUGUAUUAAAUUCUUAGAAGAAAGCAGGAAAUAUGUAAACAAUUUCAUAAAACAGUGAAAAUAUGGAGUGAUAGUUACAUAUUGAAUUAGCAUGAUGUUGUAAAGCAUUUAUUUUUGAAUGUGACAUUAAUUGAGUCACACUGUUUGGGAAUUUAUAACUGAAUUGCAAUAAACAAGUCUAUGGUUGCUCUAUUGACUAAAGAAUAUAUUUUUUGUUUCUUUACAAGAAUAUUGUGCUUAUAUAAAAAUAAGCUUUAGAAAUUUGGUAAAGCUUCAACUGUAUUUCAGGACACGCACAAUUUGAAAUAUAUAUAUAUAUUUUUGCCAAUGCCAGUGUGCUUACUGCUGGGACUAGCAAGCCCCAGGCUGCAUCAACAAUCUCAACUUCACUGCUGUUUAUAAGGGAAUUUUUCAACUAUAUUCUGUAAAUAAAUAGUACGAAUCUGUGGAUUUAUACUACUUAAUUCAUCACAUAGCUCUAAGUUCCAAGUCAUUUUGCUACAGGGAAUGUAGAUGACAUGGCAACCCAAAGCUCACACGGAAAUGGGUCAUAUAGCCACUUAAUAGUGGGGCUGAAAAAAAUAUAUAUAUAAAUAAAUAAUAAAAAAAUAGUGGGGCUGAAAUAAUAACAACAAUAAAAGGCUAUCAUUUGAACUACCAUAUUAUUUCCUCCUUGAUGAGCAACAUGAGGUUUUUUGGUUGUUUUUUUGUUUGUUUGUUUUAUUUUCAAUUAUUAGCUGCCUCAUUGUUACCCAGGAAGAAAGAAUCUUUAUGGGUAUGAAUCCUUUGCCUCUAAGCUGACUCUCUAAGUUAGAACAAACGUCUGGUUUUAAGAUAUAACUAAUGUGGUAAAAGGGCAUCUCCUCUGGCUCCUCUCCAAGCCAUGCAGACUGUUCCAUGGGUUGAAGAAGCCCUGCUCAUGAGGGGUGCUUGCUGGUGGCCCAAGCACAUCCUGGUUUCACCUCCUUUUUGGUAAGUCCAAGAAGCUGCCAAGAAACAACUGGUGAGAGCAAAGUGACUGCUUCUCCAACUUUCCCAGAAGUUCAGGCAGAUACUUAUUUUCUCAGGAGAGCAAGGUAUCAAUUCUUCCUCCCUUCUCAUGGAAUGUAGGAUAUUGAGGGUUACUUGGCCAAGAAAAUAAUGUCCUUUUGAAGUGCUGAACGAUAAUGAUGAAAAAUCCUGAAGUAGACAGUGCAAGGGAUGAUUACAUUAUUUUGAAUAUAAAACUAAUCCAAUCUCAUAAAUAUUAUUAAGAAUUAUUAUGUUCUUUCUAAACAUCUUUUUUUUUUUAAAAUUUGAAGUACAGUUGAUUCACAGUAUUGUGUUAGUUUCUGUUAUACAGCAUACUGAUUUGGUUAUUUUUCCAGAUUAUAUUCCAUUACAGGUUAUUACAAGAUAUUACAUAGAAACCCCUGUGCUGUAUAGUAAAUCCUUGUUGCUUAGCUAUUUUACGUAUAAGUAGUUUGUAUCUGCUAAUCCCAUUCUCCUAAUCUGUCUCUCCCUCCCUCUCUCCUUUGUAACCAUAAAUUUAUUUUCUAUGUUUGUGAGUCUGUUUCUGUUUUAUAUAUGACUUAUUUGGAGUUCCCCUCAUGGCUCAGCAGAAACGAAUCUAACUAGCAUCGAGGACGCAGGUCCGAUCCCUGGCUUUGCUCAGUGGGUUAAGGAUCCGGCAUGGCCGUGAGCUGUGGUGUAGGUUGCAGACGUGGCUCGGAUCCUGCAUUGCUGUGGCUGUGGUGUAGGCCAGCACCUACAGCUCCAAUUUGACCCCUAUCCUGAUAACCUUCAAAUGCUGUGGGUGUGGCCCUAAAAAGACAAAAAAAAAAAAAAAAAAA